rnacentral:rRNA from 1 species
GACGAACGCUGGCGGCGUGCUUAACACAUGCAAGUCGAACGGAAAGGCCCUGCUUUUGUGGGGUGCUCGAGUGGCGAACGGGUGAGUAACACGUGAGUAACCUGCCCUUGACUUUGGGAUAACUUCAGGAAACUGGGGCUAAUACCGGAUAGGAGCUCCUGCUGCAUGGUGGGGGUUGGAAAGUUUUGGCGGUUGGGGAUGGACUCGCGGCUUAUCAGCUUGUUGGUGGGGUAGUGGCUUACCGAGGCUUUGACGGGUAGCCGGCCUGAGAGGGUGACCGGCCACAUUGGGACUGAGAUACGGCCCAGACUCCUACGGGAGGCAGCAGUGGGGAAUAUUGCACAAUGGGCGGAAGCCUGAUGCAGCAACGCCGCGUGCGGGAUGACGGCCUUCGGGUUGUAAACCGCUUUCGCCUGUGACGAAGCGUGAGUGACGGUAAUGGGUAAAGAAGCACCGGCUAACUACGUGCCAGCAGCCGCGGUGAUACGUAGGGUGCGAGCGUUGUCCGGAUUUAUUGGGCGUAAAGGGCUCGUAGGUGGUUGAUCGCGUCGGAAGUGUAAUCUUGGGGCUUAACCCUGAGCGUGCUUUCGAUACGGGUUGACUUGAGGAAGGUAGGGGAGAAUGGAAUUCCUGGUGGAGCGGUGGAAUGCGCAGAUAUCAGGAGGAACACCAGUGGCGAAGGCGGUUCUCUGGGCCUUUCCUGACGCUGAGGAGCGAAAGCGUGGGGAGCGAACAGGCUUAGAUACCCUGGUAGUCCACGCUGUAAACGGUGGGUACUAGGUGUGGGGUCCAUUCCACGGGUUCCGUGCCGUAGCUAACGCUUUAAGUACCCCGCCUGGGGAGUACGGCCGCAAGGCUAAAACCCAAAGGAAUUGACGGGGCCCCGCACAAGCGGCGGAGCAUGCGGAUUAAUUCGAUGCAACGCGUAGAACCUUACCUGGGUUUGACAUGGAUCGGGAGUGCUCAGAGAUGGGUGUGCCUCUUUUGGGGUCGGUUCACAGGUGGUGCAUGGCUGUCGUCAGCUCGUGUCGUGAGAUGUUGGGUUAAGUCCCGCAACGAGCGCAACCCUUGUUCACUGUUGCCAGCACGUUAUGGUGGGGACUCAGUGGAGACCGCCGGGGUCAACUCGGAGGAAGGUGGGGAUGACGUCAGGUCAUCAUGCCCCUUAUGUCCAGGGCUUCACGCAUGCUACAAUGGCUGGUACAGAGAGUGGCGAGCCUGUGAGGGUGAGCGAAUCUCGGAAAGCCGGUCUCAGUUCGGAUUGGGGUCUGCAACUCGACCUCAUGAAGUCGGAGUCGCUAGUAAUCGCAGAUCAGCAACGCUGCGGUGAAUACGUUCCCGGG